UUUUUUGAGAGUUUGAUCCUGGCUCAGGAUGAACGCUGGCGGCGUGCCUAAUACAUGCAAGUCGAGCGGGGAGUUUUCCUUCGGGAAAACUCCUAGCGGCGAACGGGUGAGUAACACGUGGGCAACUUGCCCCUAAGACUGGGAUAACUCCGGGAAACCGGGGCUAAUACCAGAUAAUCUUUUCGCUCGCAUGAGCGAAUCGUAAAAGGUUUCGACCACUUAGGGAUGGGCCCGCGGCGCAUUAGCUUGUUGGUGA
rnacentral:rRNA from 1 species